rnacentral:lncRNA from 1 species
AUCAGACAAACGCUUCCACCAAUAUGGUGACCGUCUGAGGCCUUCUGCUGAUCUCAGAGGUCCUCUCCUAAAUGCUGCCUGAAGAGGAUGAGGGUGGUGGUGGUCUCUGGGAGAAAAACAAAAAACAAAACAAACUAGAAAGUAAUGUCCCAGAGUCCCUGGCCAAGAGGCUUUUCCCGGGGCGCCGCACUCCGCGAGAGGUCCUGAGAAAGAGAGUGGACCGGGAAGAAACUGGAAGGUGGCAUGGAGGGCCAAAAAUGUGAACCUGACUCUAGAGCAGUCAAUGUGAUGGUUUUUAAAUGCAGGUGGGAAGAGUGAAGGGGGGAUGUCUUCUCCCACGUCUGGUUGGGAGACAGAUGCAUGGCCGGUGCGCUGGGGGUUGCAGGAAGACUGGGCCACGAGGGCGCGUGUGCAGGCAAAGCAUUUUGCACCUCCUGUUUAUCUUAGAAACGGGGCGGAGGGGGGUGGGUGGGGAGCGAUUGUUCUGCUUCCCGACAGGCAGAAGAAGUUGAAUAAAAUGGAGAGGCGGGCACACGCAAAAACAAAAACUGCUGCAGGCUCAGAGUCUUUCUCCUUGACCCGAAUUCCAAAUGGUGGGGGCUCUUCAUUUGCAAAGGACUCCGAUGUCUGAAGACCCCAGAGACAGCGGUCCUUCAGUGACGGCAAAAGCCGCGAUAGAGACCGUUAGAAUUGGGGCUUUUGGGGCAAAUGUAAUUAAUCUUUCAUUCGAGCAGCGGGGACCCAUUCCUUCUAGGCGUUGUCGUCUGCAUUGUAGUUCUCUGAGUUUCAUGUGCUCUUCCAGGCGUUUGCAAAAUAAUGGCUCAGGUCCCUUGCA